GACGAACGCUGGCGGCGUGCCUAAUACAUGCAAGUCGAACGCAGUGGGAACGGAUUCGUAACACGUGGGUAACCUCCCCAUCAAGGGGGAUAACCCUUGGAAACAGGUGCUAAACCGAUACUUGUGGCUGUACUCGCGGUGCAUGAGCUAGUGGGUGGGGUAACGGCUCACCAAGGCUACGAGGCAUAGCCGGCCUGAGAGGGGGAUCGGCCACACUGGGACUGAGACACGGCCCAGACUCCUACGGGAGGCAGCAGUAGGGAAUCUUCGGCAAUGGACGAAAGUCUGACCGAGCAACGCCGCGUGAGUGAAGAAGGUUUUCGGAUCGUAAAACUCUGUUGGUAGAGAAGCGGUAUCUAACCAGAAAGCCACGGCUAACUACGUGCCAGCAGCCGCGGUAAUAC
rnacentral:rRNA from 1 species